GCUAAAUCCAAUCCAACUAGAUACCUUUAUUAUAAUAAUGCGUCUUAAAAAGUUUUAUUGCUUUUAUACCAUUAAUAAUGAACCCCGUUGAGUUCAGCGUUGUCCCCGCCCACUCAGAAAUGAACGAAGCUGCCUGAUUGGUUGCUCAGCUCCGCCCUCUAGGACUUGUGCGUAUGACGUCAGGCGCUGUUGUAGAGGCAAGACCGCUUGUGUGUGAGCGGGUGGGACGUGCGCGCGCGCGCGGCUACCUCACUGUGAGCUAGAAAGUCAAGCGAUGGAGACGUGAUCACUCUACGGCUGUCUGUGUGGUUCGUGGACUUUGUGAUGACAGACCAGGCAAGACCGAAGAGCAGGAUGUUCAGGAUUACUGAUUAUCUCAAGAGUAGUGAGAGGAAGAGAGAGAGAGAGAGAGAAUAUUAGCAAAAUUACCUGGAAACACCUUGAGCGGGCCGCUCCUUUCCAUAUGGACGACAAGCGUACGAGCCGUUACGCUGAAUAUCUGCCUCGGAGCAAAGUUCACGCCAUCAUUCACCUGGAAGUUAAACCCUCCAGCCGUGGCUCCUGGAGAGGACAAUGAAGCAGACUCGACAUGGAACUUCUUCAGACAUCUUCAUCUCUCUAGAAACUGUUUGCAUGACUUCAAAUAGAGAUUCAACCCUUUACAAUCAGACACUCUGGGUUUGAGGAGCAUCAUGGUGGCUGCUUCAUGACCAAGAUACAGGAUCACCUCCUGUUUUUCCACCUUACCUUUCUGCUUUUACGACACGAAAGAACAUUUGGGUGAUGGAUCAUCUUACCACUGUGCACGAACAGUAGUUGUCCCUGAUCUAUGUGAGCCUGAGUGAAGUUCAUGACUGGUCUAAUGGGAGCACUUUUCAGAGCCAGGUGCCCGUUACUGGGUUGAGUGAUGAGGUAAUGUAGCUGCUCUGGAGCUGUAUCGUCAUCCUCCGCAUGCAGAUCUUCAGGAGUGAUCUCUGUUAUGGAGCUGACCCAAACCUGGUUCAAAUGGACAGAGAUACAGUGCGAUCAUUCAGUGGACUGAUACCAUCGUAUGCUGAGAAAUAGAGCUUAAAAGCUAAUCUUAAUACCAUGAUAAUAAAUGGCUGCCGAUACGAUCAGGAGAACGAUUAAACUAAAUAGCUAUGGG